CUAAGACCACUUCCUGGUUAAAUUCUCAGUCUUCCUUCCUCAUGUCACUCAAGCAGCUUCUAAAAUGGUGUCCUACCACAGAAACUUGAGAUCCCUCAGACCUACACAGCUGUCUGGUGAGGUUUACACUACCCUUACUUCCCGCUCAUACUUCUCCUUACUGUCUGUUACUGAGGCUACAGAAACACUCUGCUCCUCUCUCACCUCCUCUCUGGACAAACUCUGUCCUCUGGUGUCAAACCAGCCAGACAAAAUCUUCCCAGUCCAUGACUCAUAGAGGUUCUAAGAGAGCACAGAGCCAGACUCAGGGCUGCAGAAAGAAAGUGGCGCAAACCAAAAGAGCACACUGACUUGUACCAGCAAAAACUUGAAACAUUGGUCUGAUGACAAGACCCUCUGUGGGAUCUAGAUAUUUGAAUCCCACACAGAACAGGAAGGUGUCACAAACUCGUCAGGUCGAACCAAGGUGUCUCAUGCAUCUGCAGUCACCAGGAUACAACAGGGAGCCUAGUGACCCACAGGCAAGUAGGCAUGUUAGGCUCGAGCCGAUGUGCUAGAUUUCGUGUCGAGCAUGUGACACAGAAGUAUUGCAAGCAUUGUUUCUGAGCAUUGGUUCAGAAUGCCAACAGUCACGAGGCCUUGUUACAUCACCUGUGCGCAUCGAGCAGCAUGCAGGAUCUUUGAAGAGACUGGGCUUGUCAAUCUCUGUGAUUUAAAAGAAGUUCCAAAUGCUGAGGAGAUCAUGGAUUUUUAAGAGGAGGAGAUUCUGCUAGUGAUUGUGCAACAUUACAUUUUGACAGCAAAUUUAGGGAAAUCAUCACAUCAGCAUUAGCUUAUAUUGGAUCACAUUUAACUUUUAGAGAUUUUAUGAAACAAACAUCUCAUAGUUUAAGAACGGAGCGGGCGGUGCCUUCAACAUCGCAGGAACAUCAGAGGAAACAUCUCGGUCGCCAGCUGCAGAGGAAGUUCACAACCUGUGGGACCUUAGACAGCCAAGCUGGUUUCUAAUCCCCAUCAGCAGAGAAUUUUUAAUCAUUUUAAACUUGGUUAAUUACAAUUGUAUUCUUGUGUUUCUUUUAGGUGCAACCUCUACAUAGCUGGAGAGGUUGUGUGCCAGAAGAGGAGCAGACUUAUGCCUAACAUUGAGAAAAUACUUUUUGAAAUAAAAAUCUAUGACACACAGACA